rnacentral:lncRNA from 1 species
UCUCCGGUGGGACUGCGGAAAUUCUGCGGCCAGGCAGGAAAGCUUACCAAAUGCUGCAGCUUUGUCUUGGUCACGAUGGGCACCCCGUUAACGACAACUUUGCAUUUGCUGUGUGGCGUGACCGUCACCUUCCCAUCCAAAUUUGUGAAGGAAGCGUGUUUAUCUGAAAUGCUAAAAAGACAAGAGGUCUAGGUAGCCAAAAUAAUCGUGACUGUAGGGCACACGGUUUUGGUGGUUGCUCCCCACUCGCACGCGUAAGUAAGACCUAUGGAUGCUGCAGGGUGGCCGGAAGCGGCUCAAGGGGGUCGGGGUAGAUAGGAGCCGGAAAGGACAACAAAGCGAUUCUCGUAGCCACAGUACCAGCACCCGCUGAGGGCCGACAGCUACAAGGAGCCCGCAUAGGCAGGGUCAUCGCUGGGGUCCUCCAAGACUCACGGGCCGCAAGACUGAGUGGUGGGGAAAUGGAAAGAAAGAUGUUUCAGAGGGAUGCUGGGACAGGUGACCAGUGCUGACAGAUAAUAACGUACAUGCCACAGAGAAGGUCAGAGCGGUUUCUGGGUCUCCAUGAUACAACGGCAGACUUUAUAUGCUAAAGACUGGGGGACAGAUGUCAGAAGUGUCAGAUUGGCGGCCCCCUAGACAUCAUCCGGCUGCCCUGAGUGACCAGCUUCCUAACUGUUCUAGAAUGUUCCUAGACUCCUUGGCUGCUGUGGAAGGCUCUGGGCGUUGAGACACUUGUCCGUCCAUAUCCCUUGUGUGUGUAGGGCCCAGGGAUGCCGUGGGAAAGGCUAUACCCUCAGCUCAUCUGGAGUUCGGCCGUCUACAGGUCCCCACUGGAAGUGUCUGGAAAGGGAGACGAGGGGAAUUCCCAGGAAGAGUCAGGAGAAGGGGCCCAGAGGCUGGCGGUGCAGGGGGAAGCCAUGUCAGCUGGCCCCCCAGUCAGCGCAGGCCCCCUCCCCUCCUGUCCCUGUGCUUUGGCGCAGGAGGGUGAGGUACGUCAGGGGGACUGGUCGGUUGGCAAGCUGAUUGAGCCUACGGGCUGGAAAUCUGUGGGCGGUCAGGACACCCUGGAACUGGGGAGAAGAAGAGAGGCCACGGAGGUAGGAGACGGCUGUGAGUUCGUGAGAACCGCCAUAGGGUUCCACAGGGCCUCCUCUUGCAGAAGGGGUCACCCAAAGCCUGGGCUUUCCCUUCAUCCAGUUGGUGAGGGCUCUGAGGGCAGAGAUCUGAGGAUGCUAUUGCUUUGGGUGGUUAAGACCACGAAGGACGUGGGCCCCUUGUGGUGGGCUCUCUCUUCACUGUCUUCAUUUGCUGGCCUCGUCCACUUGUGUCUCCUUGUGUCGAUACCCCCUAUACGGGGGUCUAGCAACGGGCCUUCCCUUCCUCCCGACGUCAGAGCCCAGGAAGCAAAGUGAGUGCGGUGGGAAGGAUUUCAGUGGGAGAGGAAAGCCCUUCCUUCCAGAAGCCCCGAGCGGGUCCCUGGGGACGGCCUGGGAAUUUGUCCUGCAGGGUUUGUGGCCCCACCCGGCGAGGCCCAGACAAAUGUUGAGAACCUCCCGUGGAAUGAGUGGUCACAAUUCUUGGACGAAGACGGUUCACGUCAACUUACCCCAAACCUUGAAGGUGGAUGGCGUUUGAAGCGGCCCGACCGGCAUCACAUGAGCCUUGAAAAGAAUUAGGAUAAUUUCUUUUCAAACUUUGUCAG